rnacentral:lncRNA from 1 species
GAUUUGGCCUGCACCGAUCUCAUACAUGAAGUUUGUGCGUUUGAAAUAAUCAAUAAAUCCUGCACAGAUAAAAUCUUUUGGGUUCACAUAUAUAUGAGGUAUCCACGAUGCUGUUUUUGAUUUGUCUUCUUGAUCCUGUAAUAAUUUAAGACAAACUUUGCUUAUAAGAAAAUCAACCAUAAUCUCGUAAGGGGAUGAAAAAUUUGACUAAUAAGAUGAAUUCUUAAUGACUCAACUACUAUGGUUGAUUAAACAAGUUAUCUUGACUCAUAAAGAUGAUUUUAGAUUACCUGGAGAUGGGUUAUGGCCAUGGCAAUGUUGCCUUUGACAACACUCUUGGCGAUUUGAAACAUAUCUUUAAGAAAAUGUCCUCCAGGUAGCUGCUCUAGAGGAAUAGAGGAGAUGGGUGGGUUGAAUAUGUAACUUUCGAGGAGGGAACCAAAACUUGUCAUGGUCUUUCCAGCAAGCAAAACUAGGGCAGCUCCCAAAGAGUGUCCAGCAAGCCAUAUAGCUGAUUCGCUAUGUUCGUCCACCAUACUACGGAUUUUUUCAACAGCGUACUUGGACCUGCCACCUCGAUGAAGGUUGUUGAAGAUGAUUUUGAGGUUAAGUUUCAUGUCAGACUUCCAAGUUUUUCGUUUUAGAACCGUGCCGCGAAAGGCAAUCACAUAGCGUGGAACUUUUACAUUUGGGCUGUUUUGGUAAACGUUGUAGCUCUUGUAUUCGAAAACGGCACCAAAUAUAGUUUUGUCAUCGUCGGUCAAGGUAUCCAUCAAAUCGAAUUCGAAAAAUUCCCACCAAGGAUUAGCUAGAAGUUGCGGAGCACUCCGCAAGCCAAGUUUGUACCUUUUUUUGCUGCUGAGAAGCCUAUCCCUUUCUAAUAUGUACACUCCAUUUACCAAACAUGAUACCACUGUGGUUCGGUGGUGCGAAUUGGUCCUAUUUAAAAUAAAAUUAGAACCAAUCAAUUAUACUUGAAUCAGUUACGAGAUAAGAUUUUUUUUUUUAUAUGCCAUUUGGAGCUUUUGUCCUUUGUUCUUACACGUAAAAACACAACUCAAAAUAUUAUGCUUGCGUUUAUUAGGUUCCAUUUUUUUUAGAAUAUAGUUUUUGUUAUUAAAUUUAUCUUUAUGAAUUUUUUUUUUCUCUCAAUUGUUAUCUAUAUGAAUAUAGGUAAUUUCAAAAGCAAAAGGGUAAAAAAAUGGUUAGACACGAAUAGCUUUUUGUACAAUAAUCUCAUGAUGAUACUUAGAAUCUGCUUAAAUAAUGUUUUUAACUUUAAAUGAGUACAUCAUCUGUAUAUGUAUCAUCGAUACUGAUUUGCGAACUUUUUAUACUUUUGAAACUCCUGCAUGCGGCACAUGAGUUAAUAUAGUUUGAAUAUAUUAAAAAUUUUCCAUCGUCGAUCAAUUAUAAAAAUCUUUGUAACACCGUAAAAUUAUAGAAACUGUUAUAUAAUUUGUUUUAUAUAUAAUUUUAAAAGGAAGUAUAAAAAAUGUUACCAAUCAAUAGAUUUGAGAUGGGAUGGGCCAGAAGUGUAGAAAUCAUCAUCUGUAUCUGAAGCCUUCAGUCCUCGUCCCAUUUCUUUUUCUCGUCCUCUCUUCUUCUUUUGCUAUAGCAGAAAAUAAUAGAAAAUGGUGGAAAUAAGCAAAACAAAAGUGAAGAAAACAAACUAAAGAGUUCUUUUUUUUUUUGUUCUUAAGAGUUUAACAAAGAAACUAAUGAUUUUAUAUUGGUGCUACAAAGUACGAGUAAAAGAAGACUUUUUUGGAUCCGGAGACUUUGAGAUUGCAGAGACGUACGUAGCUGCCUAGCAAAUGGAUGAAAUGGGAUCCACUCUCGAAUUGGAACACUUCUGUAGUCUCAGAAGUCGUCGUUGGUGGGUUCUAUGUUAUUAUUCUAAUUCAAGGAAUUGUCGAGGAAGCUUUAAAGAUAGUUUUUGGAAUUUUCUUUUGUUCACUUAUAGUCAACUUCGUCGGAAAAAAAGACUAAAAAUGGAAUUUAGUCAGAUAUUAUUGUAAAAGAAUAAAAAACAUAAUAUUGAUAAAACUGGUUAGGUUUGUAAAAACACUUAUCAGAUAAAUUUUGUUUUGUAUAAUUCAGAUAUCGUGUUUCGUAUUUGACAUGUUUUAUGUCCACUGUGAUAGAGUAAAAUAUAAAAACUCUAUUUAUCCUAUUUUAAUACAAAGCUAACCAAUUAUUAUUCUACAUGGUAUAAGUUUUUCAUUUGUAAGUUGCACACUACGUACAAGGGCCAUAUUCUUUUUUCACUUCACUAUCAUGUAUUAUCUGUAAUAUUGUUUUAAGAGGGUCCGUAUUUAUGUAGAAUAGAGACAUAUUUUUUGGGAUGUACUUAAGAUCCAAAAUUGAAGAUAGAACUUUCUUCAUUUUAUCAUAGGUCUGAAAUAUUUGAUGACUUUUCUCAAGUCAAGUCAUGUGUAACUUUACUUAUCUGUACAAAUUAAACUAGUUGACCAAAAAAAACAAAAAAUAGAACAGCCAUUAUGGUUGUCUGAAAGCGUGAUGAUAGAUUUAUUAUACUACAUAUGUAGUGGUUGCUAUAUCUUAUAAGGUCAAAAAUUGUUUUCCAAACACAUUGUUACGGCUUUAAAAGAAUAAUGGGCGUUUUCUAUUUGAUAAAAGAUUUGUGUUCUUUCUGUGAGGUUUUUUUUUAACACACACAAAGAUUUAUAUAGCGUGUAUAAACAAAUCCAAUACAACUAUUGAGACAAAUUAAACCUUUUACCCAAAAAAAGAAAAAAAUAUUGACACAAAGAAAAAAUAAUUUUGUACAUUAUUUCGAUGAACUAAUCCAAUAUAUAUGUCGUGGUGGCUUUCUGUGAGUUUAUAUAUUGAUUGUUCUUACAAUUCCUCUGUAUAAUAAAUUAAUUCAACUAGGUAAUUAAUUUUUAUUUUUUUCUUUGUCAGCUAGGUAAAUAACUUUUACGUGUGAACAUCAAAACACUUUAUCUUGUACGUACAAACAUUUGAGGAUAUUUUUAUCAAAAGAGAAAGAAACAAAAAAAUUGAAAAUAUACUGAAGCGUUGAACAAAGUAUAGAGUUGACAAGAAAGAGAAAAGACUAAAGCGUUGAAAGCCAUGAACGAAAUUAGUAUUGAAUCAUUCGUUCACUGGAAAUAGUUGAAGCAUAGGAUUCCACCAUUGAUGAAUCCCAUGAUUUUCAUGAAUGUCCGACGAUACAGUCUUGUUUAUCCACAUAAUGACGGAUGGAAGAAAAUGAAGAUGAUCUGAUGGUUCUUCUCUUCCGAAACUCGAACACUUACGCCUAACUGAGUAUGCAGCAGCCAAGUUCGCGAUCUUACCGAGUCCCACCUUUGUCAUUUUGACUAUGUGUUUGGAAUUACCAAUAUAUUCUGAGCUUAUCGGAUCUGAUUGGUUCACAAACAAAUAAGGUUUCCAAGAAGCUAAAUUCUUAUAUUGUUGACCUUCUUGAUCCUGUAACAAUUGGAGGUAAGAAUUGAGAAUAACCUUUUAAAAAUCGUUAAGGAUUAUUUAUAUAAAGCUGUUUAUGUUAUGGGAGAUAUUAUUUCUGAACAAGUACCACAAGUAUAAUAUAAAGUUUCUUAUAGACUAAAGAUACCAUUGGUAAAAUUCUGGAAUUUUUCACUGUUAACCAAAAAGAAAACUUUAUAGAUACCUCAUCAAAGGAUAAGACUUUCGCCAUGCCAGCUUUGAAGAUAUCCCUGGUGAAUCGAUACGUGAAAUUAAGUGUGUCAUUGAAACCCAAGUGCUCUAGAGGAAUCAAGGAGAUAGGUGGGUUGAAGAUGUAAGCCUCAAGAAAAAGUCCAGACUUGGCCAUGGUCUUUCCCGCGAGUAGUGCUAGGGCAGCUCCUAGAGAAUGUCCAGCGAUCCAGACAGUUGUGUUUCCAAUUUUGGACACGAAAGAUUGGAUUUCUUCAACGAUAUGCAUAGAUUUAUCCCCCUUCUGGAGGAUCUCGAAUGGUAAACGGGAGUUUUGCAUCAGAUCAUUAACAGCAAAAACACUUAGGACAGUUCCGCGUAAAGCAAUCACGUAACGCGGAGGUACGAUCGAGUUGGGGGUAAUCUCAUAAUUGAUCAUGUUUUGGAAGACAGCACCGUAUAUGGAGACGUCAGUUCGGUCCGUGAAUUUGUGGAUUAAAGUGAAGUUGAAACUCUCCCACCAAGGUGGGGCUAAUGACUCGGAACCAAUUCGGUUGUCUUGCCUAUCUCGUUCCAUUGCGUAAACUCCUUGCACCAAACACGACAUCAAUGAGGUUCGGUGGUGAAAAUUGUUCCUAUAUAAGAAACAAACCAAUUCAGACCAUAGAAACGAUCGAGUAGAUCGAUUUGGAUAUUGUCUCUUUCUUUUUUUUUUGUAUCAUUAUGAAAUGUAUUAGAUGAAACGAAAUUUACCAGUCAAAAUAUGGAAUUCGAGGGGGACCAUUACGGCUUAGAGCGUCACUGCGCGAUGAGUCGAGGAUUCCCAUCAGCUCCUCUUUCACACUUUCGUCUUCAAAUUCUUCUGAUUGCUUAUAUGUAAGUAUUGUAAUCAAUCCGCGUACUAAAUACAAAAAAAAAAAAAAUUGGAUGUAACUAAUAGAAAUAUAUAUUAACUUAAAACAUAUUUAAAUAUAAAACUGAAAGUGUAUAGUGGAAUUAGUGAAAUUUAUAAACAGAAUUGAAUCUAAUGGAGUCACAGGUAUGUCAGGGUUUGGAUUCUGAAAGGCCGUCGAGCAUAAUCGAAUUCAACCGGAUAUGAUGAAGUACACUAAAAAAAUCAUUUCCACCAAACAAGAAUUAUAGAGAGUUCAUGUACAUUUUUGCAGAAACAACUUUUAGGUAUAUAACUAUAUAUAGAGAAAUAGCAAAUAGGUAACCGCAUAGGCAUAAAAAUGAUGUCAUAAAAGUGAUGUCAUAAAUAUAUAGUACUAGUUUGACUGUUUGAGGAAUGGUCGAGGAAGUUUAGAAAAAGUUAUAGAAAUUUUACUUUGCUCACACAUUAUUGAGUCAAAUAAAAAACUUGGAAAAUUUUAGUCAGCAGAAUUCUUAGAUAACAAAAGACAUAAUGUUGCUGAAAUUGGUUUGGUUACUAAUUUUUUUUUCAAUGAAAUUUGUUUUAUCUUAAUUUAAUUAAAGUACUAUAGUAUAUUGACAUGUUUAGUGACCAUUUUGAUAAACUGAAAUAUAAAACUAUAAAUAUAUUACGUUUGAUGCAAACUUAUAUAACCAAUUAUUCAAAAUAUGUUUAAUGUUACUAUAGCACAUUUAGAAUAUGUACAUCUAUACUUUUAUUGAUUUUAAAAUUAUACAUGUGGAUUAAACAAAAUCCAUAAACAAACAAAUUUAUAGAUUAUCAGUAGAAAUUUAUUCAAAAAAUAUUCAGUAUUAUCAUUGCAAGUUGCAACACAAGGUCCAGUGUGGGGGUGCAUGCAUAGUUUCUUAGAGGGUCCGAAUGUCGUCGAACGAAUAAUAAAGACAUAUUCUUGGGAAGUAGUAAGAUCCACACAGUGAAGAUAAAACUUUCUUCCUUCUAUGGACUUCUCUCUUUCCUAUGGUCACGUACUCUUGCUUGUUGCCAACACACUAGUCCAAAUCAUCAACAUGACGAGGAUUUAAAAUUCCUCCGAAGACUAGUCCAAAUCAUUAUUUGCUUUACCAAUUUUGUUUAUUCACCAAAUUCUCAAAGAUAGAAAAUCAUAAAACAUUUUUUUUUUAUCAAGAGAUGUGAAUUAUAUCUUUAAAACAUCUUAUUUUUAUAAUCACAUGGAAGUUUCUCAAUAAGGUAACCUAACUAUCAAAAACAAGUAUCCACUUUUAUUGCUUCGUUAAGUUUAGUUCUAGAAUUUAGUUAGUUAGCUAACUAGCCCUUUAAGUGACUACUUAUAACUUUAAGCAGACAACACUUAACAUAAUAUUUGAGUUAUAUUAUCUUUGUUGUAAAAAUUAAAGUAGUUUUAAGAAGAAUAUAAUUAUCAACAAUUACAUGAAAAAAAAAAUCAAAAACAUGGGAAGAAAAAGACAUACAUGAAAUAGAAGACAACAAAAAAAAAAGUAGAAGAAAUGGAAAAGAUCACUUGAACAAGAUACAAAAGCUGAUUAUCCUAACCAAAUACAAUAUAUCCAGCACAUAUUGGAUCUGCUGGGUUUACAUAUAAAUAUGGUAUCCACGAUGUUGUUUUGGGAUCGUCUUCUUUAAGCUGUAAUAAUUUAAGACAAACAGUUUCUUGUUAGAAAAUCAGCCAAAAUCAACAUAUAUUGAAACUGUGUUAGUUAACUAUUUAAAGGAGAUAAGUCAGCCGAUAUCGUGGUAGUGACGGAACAUCAUAGUUGAGUAAUAUGACAUCGUCUCUUGAGUUUAGGAUUCUUAAAUCAAGAAUUGCUAAAGCAAACACUUAUCGAAUCUUCAAUUCGAGAACCCUAAACUCACCAAACGUUUUACUCAACUCCGAUAUCCCGUUAAUGUGACGGUGUCGGUUGACUCAUCGCCGUUAAGUGGUUAACUAAUAUUGUUUUGGUAUAUGUUGAUUUUGGCUAAUUUCAUAUAGUUUAGGUUGAGAAUUUUAUUUUUUUGAGUUUAGUUUGCUAUUUGUCGGGUAUAGUAGUUUGGGUAUAAAAGUACCGCCAACAAGGUUGAUUUUCGUUAUUUUCCCCACAUGUUGUAUCACGAGAUGGGUUUGUAUAGAUAUUACUAAAAUAUUAAGAUAUCAUUAAUCAUUUACUUCUGAACAGGUUAAAACUUCAUUAUACUAACCAAUAUGAGCUAGACAUGAAUUAAGUUUGAUAUUAUGCAAUCAUAAUGUUUUUUAAACAAAUUCUAGCAUAAUUGAAUUUAAAAAAAUAAGUUGUUAAAAUCUAGUAUCAUAUUUAAUAAGUUAUGUAAUUAACAGAAAAAUAUUUGAAUACAAAAUAUGCUCACGUAAAUGUAGGAUGAGGAUCCAACCAAGACCAGAGUAUAGCGUAUAAAAUUAGAUUUUCAAUUCAUUUGUACUUUUUUUUUUGGUUUUUUUUUUUUGUGAAAACCAGUUUAAAACAGUUACAUGGAAAUUCAAACAAAAAAAAAAUUGAAAGAAAGAAAAAAUUACUUAUAAUGUCAAUUGCUUUAGCUUUUCCAUUUUGUGAGAUCUAAUGCGAUAGCUUUCCCAAUUUACCCUCACGGCCGGGUUUGCCUCCCACCACUGGUGAAGCGCAUGAGCUGGCGUAGACUUAGUCGGUUCGUUAUUAUUUACAGUCAUUGCUGCUGAUGGAAGAACGUAAAGAGGUUCUUUUGACAAUUUCGAAGGUGGCGGUGAUCUCAUUACUUUUCCGACCAAUAGACUUGCAUAUGAGACGCCAGCAGCAAGUAUCUCGAUUCCGCCUGCACCAAUCUUAGACAUGAAGCUUCUGUGUCUAAGGUAAUGAAUAUAUCCUAAACAGAUUGGAUCAUUGUGGUUCACAUAUAUGUGAGGUAUCCACAAUGCUGUUUUUGAUUUGUCUUCUUGAUCCUGUAAUAAUUUAAGACAAACUUUUCUUAUAAGAAAAUCAACUACAAAAAAAAAACUCAUUCAUUAUAGUAUCGCAAGUGGAUGAAACUCUGACUAUAAUGACUCAACUGUCAUAGUUAAUUAAACCGGUUAUCUUGACUCUUACAGAUGAUUUAAAGUUUACCUGUGGUUUUUUUGCGAACAUAGCUAUGGCGCUUUUGACGACACUCUUGCCGGUUCGAAACACAUGUUUAAUAAAUUUUCCUCCAGGUAGCAGCUCAUAAGGAAUAGAUGAGAAUGGUGGGUUGAAUGCGUGACUUUCGAGGAAGCAUCCAGAACUCGCCAUGGUCUUUCCAGCAAUCAAAACUAGGGCAGCUCCGGAAGAGUGUCCAGCAAGCCAGAUUUUUGAGUCGCUAUGUUUGUCCACCAUUCUACGGAUUUUGUCAAGGGCGUACGUAGGCCUGCCACCUCGAUGAAGGGUGUUAAAUAUACAUUGGAUGCCAAGUUUAAUAUCAGCUAUCCAAGUUUUCUUGUUCAGAACCGUGCCGCGGAAAGCUAUCACAUACUCUGGAACUUUCACACCAGGGUCAUUUUUGUAAAAGCUGUAGUUCUUGUAUUUGAAAACAGCACCGUAUAUGGUACCAUCAUCCUCGUACAAGGUAUCCUCCAAAUCGAAUCCGAACUUCUCCCACCAAAGAUUGGCUAGUGGUUCUGGACACUUGAAAAAGCCAAACCUGUACCUUUUUUUUUGCUUAAUACGCCUGUCCUUUUCCAAUGUGUACGCUCCAUUUACCAAACAUGCUAGCACAGCGGUUUGGUAGCACGGACUAGUCCUAUUAAAAAUAAAAUAAAUAAAUUCAAAAUCAAUAAGAAUCAAUCAAUUAUACUUGUCAGUAUUGAUUUGCAAAGGUGAACAUUUACUUUGAAACUCAUGAAGUGCACAUGAAUUCAUAUAUAGUUCUAAUUAAUAAAAAUUCCAUCGUCUAUCAUAAAAACCUUUGUGACAUCAUAAAGUUAUAGACACUAUUCUAUAUAUAAAAAAAACUUCUUCGUCAAAUUAUUUUUAACAAAAGUAUACUAAAAUUAAAAAUAAAUAAAAAAGAAUCUUACCAAUCAGGAGUUGUAAGAUGGGAUGGGCCGUGAGUGUUGAAAUCUGAUGUAUCUGAUUUGGCCAACGAUCCUAUCCCCAUAUUUUUUUGUUUCUCCGGUAAAGCCUCUACCUGUUUUUUUUUUUGUUUUUUUGUUUUUUCUUUUUUUUCUUUUAUAGUAGAAAAUGCAGAGAUUUCUUUUUAAAGGGAAAGAAAAUAACAGAAAAUGGUGAAAAUAAGAAAGAAAAGAAAAGUGAAGACAAAAAGUAUAAUCGAACUUAAGCGAAUCUUAUGAAGUAAAGCUAAGAGUUCAUGUUAAGUAAACAAACUUGUGUGUGUGUGUGUGUGUGUUUUCUCUCUUUUAACUAUAUGGGCUAUUUAUAGGCUGUAUGACGACCCCUAGUAAACUCACUUGCAACGACUUUAGAAGCAUGGAGGAAAGUCCUCUAUAAACGACAUUAUUUGAAUAUUUUUAAAAAGUUUCUGAAAAUUUUGUCGGUGAUAGUGAAAUAAGUAGAAUAAUCUAGUUUGAGAGUUUUAACUAAGACUAAACCAAUUUUUUCUUUAAAUACAUCUUAGCCAUUUUAAAAAUAUUAAUGAAGAUGUAAUUUUGAUUUUGAUUUUUUACUUUAAAUUAGAAAAAGUACUUUAAACAAAAAUAUAGAAAACCUUUUUCUCAAAACUUCAAAAAAGAAAUGGUUUUAAUUGUGGAAUUUUCUUUUGUUCGGAUUUAAUUUAGUCAAAUGAAUUUUAAAGAACUUAUAAGUCAGCAACUCGUAGAAAUAAAAUACAUAAUAUUCUGAAAAUGACUUGAUUUGUAAAUAAAUUUAUCAAAUGAAUUUUAUUAAAUAUUAAUUUAUUUCCAGUAUUAGUAGAGAGGACUAUUCAAAUAUCUUGUUUCGUAUUUGAAAUUUUUAUGUCCAAUAUGAUAAUUUAAUAUAUAAACUAUGAAUAUCCUAAUUUUAAUAUAAACAUGAACAAUUAUUCCAAACAUGUUCACAUUUUCAAACAAGGAGUAAAAACAAUUUUGGCUCUUUGAGAAUAAUCAAGUUUAAGAUUUUAUGUGAUAAUUAUGUUUGAUAAAUGUCAAAUGACAACAACGUCGUAUUUUUAUCUGUUUUAGCAAUAGUUUCUAACGUUACUAAUCUAAAGUGUUUGACAUAAACUCGAAGCUCUUUUUGUUUUGUUUUAAGUUUAUAGAAUUUUUGUUUUUGUUAAGUAUAUCCUGGUGUUAAUUAGAUAUUACAUGCUUUCACAUCGGUUUAUGAAUUUAUUAUGUAGAGUUCUUGGGAAGACAGAAAAGUCGCAUUUUCACCUCCAAGCAGAACGUAACAGGAGAAACAAAGGAACGGCUAACCAGUGAAGACCACCCAGUGGUAGUGGUAGAGCCCAUGACAGAUAUGACCAGCACUAAAAACUAAAAUGGUCUAGCUGUGUCCGUCGACCAUUCUAAGCUUUAUCCUUGACCGUGGACCAGCUUUAUCCUUUGCUUGACCGUGGAGGCAGGCGUGGACUAAAAACUAUGCUUUUAUCAUUUUCCUUAUUCCACACGUAUUUCCAAAUAACAUGGAUUUCACUAGGAUUCGUUAACAAUAUAUAUGUGGAAAUCAAUUAGUUUAUUAACACAUGAUUUCAAUAUAUAUUUUAUAUCUGUGAUCUAAAAAAACAUAACUUUGUUUUGAAUCAUUGCUAUCAAUUAAAACGUAUAAACCAAUGUAUGUACCUUUUUACUGAUAUUAUUUUUUUAUAAACGUAUAAACCAAUUUUGUUAUUUUAUUUAUAAUAUAAAAUAUUUUUAUAUAAUGCAAAACCAAAAUAUAAAAUAUUUUUUAUAUAAUGCAAACUAAAAUGAAAUGUCAACGUCUCAAUUUAUGGGAUCACAUGGGUUUGUUUGUAUAAUAUGAUCCCUUUUAUAAAUUAUUAAAUUAGGAUAGAACUUUCUUCCUUCUAUGGAGUUGUUCUUUCUUUCCUAACACUUGCAUACGAAUUUUGUGACGUGACGUCAUAUUCGUGACGUCCAAAAGGCAAAUCCAAAUCCAUUAUUUGCUUUUGUUUUCAGCAUUACAUAGAAUAACUGUUUUACAAAUUUCCAAAAAGUAUUUUAUAAAAAACAUUUAUAUCAAGAGACUAGUAUAAUAAUAAACAUUUUAUAUCAAGACAUUAACUAUACUAUAUUAUUUUUUACUUGAGUGUCUAUGCUUCUGUGGACAAAUGAUUGUUAUACUUACAACAAUAAAGAAAGGGAAUACGUAAAAACUAAAAAGAGAAAAAUAUCGCAAAUAUCAACAUAAGAUAAAUACACUUUGCUUCACUGAUACAGUUUUACUUUUAUAUAAGAUGUUUGUAUAUGCACAUAAAAAAGUCAACAUGAAUAUUUUAUAUACACACACACGUAUUCAAGAUAAUGUAUUUAUAUAAGUGCCCUUUUCAUUUUGAAUGUGUUUGCACGUACGUAUACAUUUUUUUUUUCACGCACAAGGUUAAAUUUUUUAUUCAUUUUGCAAAAUUCAUCUUGUACAGUUGUACGUAUACAUAUACAAAAUUCAUCUUGAAUUAAUGUGGCUGAUCAAAAUUUUACAGUUAAUAGUAAAAAUUUCAAAAUGAUGUACUUCCUAUUUUCUUUAAACAGUAUUUUAAAAGGAUUGUUAAAUGUAUUCUUGAGCAUAUUGGAUCUGAUUGGUUGUUCACAAAAAAAUGAAUUGUCUCCAAGAAGCUAAAAUUCUUUUUUCUUUUUUUUUUUUUUGGUAGGAAGAAGCUAAAAUUCUUAAACUGGAGGUAAUAAUAUCAACAAAAAAAAAGAUUUAGUUUCCUGUACGAAAAGUAUUACCUAAUGUACUACUAUUGGAUUAGAGAAUAGCAUUUUAAAUAUCUUUAAUGAUUAUUUAUAUAAAGCUUUUCAUGUUAUGGGAGAGAUUAUUAGUGACGUACCACAAGUAUAAUGAAAAAAGUUUCUUAUAUGAACUUUAUAAAAUUCUCAUCAUUCAUCAAGAUCUAGGACUUUGGCUAUGCCAGCUUUAAAAUUAAAUCUUUUUAAAUGUGUAUAUUAUUUGGACUAGUAUUCGGACGAGCUAUAAAUCCUCGUCACGUCGAUGGUGUCCUAUAGCAAGAGUGCGUACGACCGUGCGUGACCAUAGGAAACAGAGAAAUCCAUAGUAUCAAAUAUUUUUUUAACGUUUGGUUAAAUGCGAUUUAGUUCUAGAAUUUGGCUAUUUAGCUAACCAACCCCUUAAUUUAUUACCAACAACUAGACUUAAUAUAAUACUAUUUAGGAUAUAUUGUCUUUGUUGUAAAAUUUAAAGUAGUUUUAAGAAUAUAAAUAUCAACAAUUACAUGAAAAAACAAAAAAUCUAAAACUUGGGAGAGAGAGAUAGAAAAGAAAUAGAAGACAACAAAGAGGUACUAGCAGAAAUGAAAAAGCUCACUUGAACAAGAUACAGAAGACGUACAAGCCAUUUAACCAAACCAAGCACAAUUAUUAUGUAACAAGCUCACUGUUAUAGUUUAUUGUAAGGUUAACUGCUCCAACUUGUCUUCAGGGUAAGGCCUAAUGCAACAGCUUUCCCAGUUUUCUCUUAGGGUCGAGUCUCGCUCCCACCAUUGGUGAAGCCCAUGAGCUGGCCUAGACUUAGUCGGUUUGUUCUUGUUUACAGUCAUGUCUGCUGAUGGAAGAAGGUGAAGAGGCUCCUUUGAUAGAUCUGACAGUGAUGUUUUUCCUUUUCUUCCGACCAAAAGACUCCUAACUGAUUUUCUUGCACCGAUUCUCUCGAUUUCGCCUGCACCGAUCUCGGACAUGAAGGUUUUGUGUUUGAAGUAAUCAAUAUAUCCUGCACAGAUUGCAUCUGCUGGGUUGACAUAUAAAUAUGGUAUCCAUGAUGCUGUUUUUGUAUCGUCUUCUUUAAGCUGUAAUUAUUUAAGACAAACAUUUUCUUGUAAGAAAAUCAACUUUAAGCAAGUCAACGUGGUACCGCAAGUACAUGUAAUUAUCUUAAGACUUAAUUACUGUAUACCACCGUAGUUAACCAAACGAAGUUAUGUUUGUUCCAUUAAGAUGAUUAUAGUUUACCUGAUGAUCGCUUAAGGCCAUGGCUACCGUGGCUUUGACAACACUCUUGGCCAUUUGAAACACUUCUUUAAGCAAAUGUCCUCCAGGUAGCUGCUCAAGAGGAAUAGAAGAGAUGGGUGGGUUGAAUAUGUAACUUUCCAGGAGGGAACCAAAACUUGUCAUGGUCUUUCCAGCAAGCAAAACUAGGGCAGCUCCCAAAGAGUGUCCAGCAAGCCAUAUAGCUGAUUCGCUAUGUUUGUCCACCAUACUACGGAUUGUUUCAACAGCGUACUUAGACCUGCCACCUCGAUGAAGGUUAUUGAAGAUGAUUUUGAG